CGGUGGAGCAUGUGGUUUAAUUCGAAGCAACGCGAAGAACCUUACCAGGCCUUGACAUGCAGAGAACUUUCCAGAGAUGGAUUGGUGCCUUCGGGAACUCUGACACAGGUGCUGCAUGGCUGUCGUCAGCUCGUGUCGUGAGAUGUUGGGUUAAGUCCCGCAACGAGCGCAACCCUUGUGUUUAGUUGCAAACAGGUCAAGCUGUGCACUCUAGACAGACUGCCGUGGACAACACGGAGGAAGGUGGGGAUGACGUCAAAUCAUCAUGCCCUUAUGAUCUGGGCUACACACGUGCUACAAUGGCCGGUACAACGGGCAGCGAAGGAGCGAUCCGGAGCGAAUCCUAAAAAGCCGGUCCCAGUUCGGAUUGCAGGCUGAAACUCGCCUACAUGAAGUUGGAGUUGCUAGUAAUCGCGAAUCAGAAUGUCGCGGUGAAUGCGUUCCCGGGUCUU
rnacentral:rRNA from 1 species